GUGCAUCCAUCCAUCUGACAGAUAUUUAUUGACUCACCUACCAGCUGACUGCCUGGGAAGCCAGAGCAGUUUGCCAACUAAUAUGGUUAAUUGGGAUUUGAUAAGUGCUAUAAAGACACCAGAGAUUCAGCAGUUUCUCCCAGCUAUGGAACUUAUUUUGGCUAAUGGAUAUCACUCCCACUCCCAUUUCAAUCUUACAAAGGGAUGCUAGAAGAGGAUUGAGCAGUCAGAAGGUGGAAACUUAAUAAAAAUUGAAAGUCAGAGACGGGAGGGAAUGAAAGCAGCAGAGGAAGAAGGAGGCAGAGACUGGACGGCCAGCAAGGCCUCAGUGCCCUGCACAGUUUAAGCUGAGCCAGGUAUUCUUCCUGUUUCCUUGCUUGAUCUUUGCUUGAUCCUCCCUCUUGCCGACGCCCUCACCUGGAGGAGUCAAGCCCAGCACAGAUGCCACUGAGACAGGUCAAAGCCAGGGAAAGGUCCUGGGAUCAAAACUUGGCUAAGUAUGAUCCAAACUUCCAAGCAGUCAGAAGUAGAAAGAGCCAGAAGAUAAACCUAACCCAUUUUUGAAGGGGUGCCAAAGGUGAAAAGCAGGAAAACCAAAAUUACUCAUCAAGUCUAAAGGGGGAGCACAGAGCCAGAAGCUGAGAGGAGAAGAGGAGUCAAGCGAGUCAGUGCCAGAGUAGAAGCAACAGUAAUUUAAACUUUUCUACUAUGUGACCUACACUCCACAGGUACCUUAUAAUAGCUGAGCCAGGGCUUAACAAAGGAAUUGGGUGUGUGUGGUAUUUGUGUGAGCAUGUGCUUGUGUGUGUGUGUGUGUGUGUGUGUGUCACAAUCUGAUUGCCGAUGUGGGAUGGGAGAUGGGAAAGAAUGUUUAGGCACUUGUGUAUUUAUAUCAAAGAGAUGGUAGGACCCACAAAAAAGAAUUCAUUUUUUGUGAUGUUAAUGUUAUAUUUUGGGGGGAGGUUUUGGGGGAGGAAGAUUUGCUUCUAAGGGGUGGACUCAUAUCUCUGUGUGGGGAGGCUCAGUUAUAACGACAACUGAAGUCUCUCCUGGCGUUGGCAUAUUUCAUUCUCGUAGGGAGAAAUGCAAUGCUCAUCCCUCCUCCCUCACACCCCCACCACUUCCUUGGUGCCCUUCCAAGGUAGGGCCCUUGGUGCUGGCUGCUCAUUCCUCCCCCAGGGGUGGCUUUCCAAGGCCAAGAGGGCCAGAGAGGGCUGCUGCCAGAGAUGCUUCUGUUCUGGCUCCUUCUCACUCCCCUUCCUGUCUGCUGGGCCUUUUGGUGGCAGCACCUAGUCCUGACGGGGUUAGAGUACCACCCUGGAGCGGAUGGUGUGUGCACCAGCAAGCAUCCAGUCAAUUCAUGAGUUAUCCUCUGCGUGAGCUGGGCUGUGAUGUGCCGUUAUCUUCCUGCUCCCAUUGUACACUUCACACACCAGCUUUCUCUCCAGACAGUUGUUUGAUCACUAACUACUUCGAAUAUCAUGACCAUAGGCUCAUUUAUUUUUUUCUGUUUUAAAGGAUGGUGCUGGUGUGCACAGGGAGCAGCCACGUCAAUUUACACAUUUGCCAAGGACAAUGAGAAUACAGUUUCCUCCGAAAAAAUCUUAGGCUGAUCUUGGAAGAAAGACCCCCUGGAUCAUCUAAAAAUAAAGUUUUCUAUUUAAAGAUGAAAAAACGGAAGCAAAACCAUUAAGUGCCUUCCCCAAGGUCUUAAAAGAAGUCACCAAGAAGGUGGUGUGGCUCAAGUCUCCUGACUCCAGUUUACUAUUUCCCACAAUAAUGUUGGAAAACCACAUUGGAACGGGAAGACUCAUUCCAAGUACUGCUGUCACACCAGCAAGCUUCAAAGAUAUGUUUUGCUGACACACAGAGUCUGGGCAGCAUCCAGCCCCCCGUUUACUCCCUGGUCUUUAAGUCUAGGUCAUUUCAGGACCAGGACAGUUUGGCACUGGGACGUGUUUCCCAGAAGUACUAAUAGUUCGAGAGAGGAGCAAGUGUCUUCACAUCUGCAGGUCUGGGUGCCGAACUUUCUACUGUCGUUCCGAGGACCAACCCUAUGAGUACACGUCAGUAUCUGCACAUAAUAGAUGAGAUCUGAGACUCAGGCUACUUGUGCAAGGCCAGGCAGCCAGUGUAAGAAGCCUGAGGUGAGAUGUCUGGCCGUGUUGCUAGUGCCGUCGCCCUCAAGAAGCCAAACAGGCUCUCAGAGUCUCUCAGGCCCUGCCCCCGGACGUGGCCCCGCCCCAGAGCAUGCUGGGCAGGACCUCCCCAUAGAUCCCUCCCAUUGCCAAUGUAUUCCUCCAGAGGAUUCUGAGCUCUGCUUGGUGUUUCCAGCUGUGAUGAGGUAAAUGUAGUCUUGGUCCUCUGGAAAAGUAGAUAAUUAAGGCAGAUAGUCCACACAUGUGAAAGUGUUGUGACUUGGAAAGGGUGGGCAGAUCCCAGGUUGGGAGGAUUAAGGAAAGCAUUGAGGGAAACCUUUCAGUAUGGUGGGAAGGAAGGAGGAAAGAAGAGAUGGAGGAUCUCAUUUUGGUUUUGGUUUUGUUUUGUUUUGAAGUUUUUAUGAAGAAAAGUUCCCAUCUGAUGACUUCUCUGUUUCCCUCUGGUGGUCCAGCACAUAUGAUCAAUGAGCGAGGAGUGUGGACAAGGUGUAGGAAAGUGGAAUUGUUUUGAGAACUUAGGCAAGCGAGUUGACUGAGAAAACAAUCACAGAAGCUCCCCCGAGACAGGGCCUCUGUUUGUUGCCUCCACUGGGUGUCCCAAGUGCUUGGAAGAGCGUCUGGCACAUGGUAACACAGGAGGAAUGACUGGAUUCUGAGGCAGUGGUGGAGCUGAGCAACAGAUGUAGAACAGAAGUUUAUGGGGCACAAACACACUUGUGUGAUUUUAUCCAAGAGGAAGCAGGCCCUUAUUUGAAGGCAGUUCUAAAACAGGCAGAGUUGGAUUUUGCUAGACAGGACGAAUGAAAGAAGGGGGUAGGCUGUUUAGAGCAGAGCAGUAUAUUUAGGUUUAGGAUUAAGUGAUGCCCCAUGAAGUUUUCCUUGGAGAGGGAGGAAAUGAAGACAAAGGUUGUCAGGUAAGCAGGGGAAAGUAUGGAGUGGCUUGUAGUUCCUGAAUAGGUUGAGGCAUUAGCAUGCUGAGGGCAGAAGCUGAGAGGAUAAAGGGAGGAAUGUCAGACUGUAUUUUUUCAGAACACACAAGUGUUGCUGGUGAUAAGUUCUAGGAUAUGGCCAUAACUGAACUGGAAUGAAGGUAAAGGACUCUAAGAUGAGAAGGAGCAGACAGUGAGAGAUCAGAUCAUUGGAUGGUCUAUCUGCAUGGAUGUUGGGGCCUCUGAUUGAUUCCUUCCCCUUUGAGUUCCUUUCCUGUCCACAGAAUUGGCAUUUCCUCUAACUCUAACCUUCAGUCCAUGGCAUGACUCUGGACAAGAAGGCAGAAAUGGGGUGGUGAGAGAGAGGGUUGAAGUAGACAUCCGUUUUGUUUUUGUUUUUAUUUUGACACUCAGCAUUCACUCACCUUCUAAAAAUAGUCCUUCUUUUGCCCUCUGGGGAUCUAACCCCGUUGUCAGUUUCAGUCCAUGUGAAGUGGAGUGUUUAUCACUAACGCUCUUACUUUAAAGGAGGGCAUUGAAGUCAGGCUUGGCCAAAAAGAUUGGUCCAUGCUUUUGGCAACAGUGAUUGGUCAGGGAUGGGCAUGUGACCCAACAGGAAACAAUAAGGCACAGUGGGACUUUUGAAGGGACUAGUGGGAGAAACAACCCAUUUUUAGCUGCGCUUUUAGUUUGGAAGAUGUAGCUACGAACUUGCCAGACAGACUUACAAGGUAGCCAGUCCAGAAUCUAGAGCAGAGAAAUGGAUAGAAACUGAAACUUGAU